GGUGGCUCAGUGGUAGAGCGCUUGCCUUGCAUGUAGGAGGCCCUGGGUUCAAUUCCUCAGCACCA
rnacentral:tRNA from 1 species